UGAGUAGGUUGAAUGGUCGCGGGCGCAGUGCCGAAAGGCCGCGCACGAGGAAAGUCCGGGCUCCGCAGGGCAGGGUGCCGGGUAAUACCCGGUGAAGGCGACUUCAAGGAAAGUGCAACAGAAAUAAACCGCUGGGGAUGAAAAGUGUGGAUGGUUCCUGCCGGAACCGGCAAGCGCUUUCUCCUCAGCAAGGGUGGAAAGGCGAGGUAAGAGCUCACCGGCCCGACGGCAACGAAGGGCGCUCUGCAAACCCCACCUGGAGCAACACCGUGACGAGGAGCGAUAGGUGGCCCGCCUGUUCCUCAGAGGUGGCUGGAGCCAUGUAGCAAUACAUGGCCUGGAUAGAUGAUCAUUCUCGACAGAACCCGGCUUACAGACCUACUCAUCUC
rnacentral:RNase_P_RNA from 1 species